AGUGUUGUUCACAAUUACCUGAAAGAGAAGUAGGGGUGCUUCACUGGGCUGGAAAAAGUUUAGCUAAAUCAGAAAGCAUGUCUAAUUAAACAAGUUUAUUCUAUACCUAUAAAAGGCUAAGUUGUCUUGCUCUAAGUUGACUUAUAAAGCUAUCGCUGGCGCAAAUCACACACAUGUGUUAGAUCUGUCAUUGUCAAUCAUGAAUUUGGUUGACACUUCUAUUAUAG